rnacentral:rRNA from 1 species
UAGGGAAUCUUCCGCAAUGGGCGAAAGCUUGACGGAGCAACGCCGCGUGAGUGAUGAAGGUCUUCGGAUCGUAAAACUCUGUUAUUAGGGAAGAACAAAUGUGUAAGUAACUAUGCACGUCUUGACGGUACCUAAUCAGAAAGCCACGGCUAACUACGUGCCAGCAGCCGCGGUAAUACGUAGGUGGCAAGCGUUAUCCGGAAUUAUUGGGCGUAAAGCGCGCGUAGGCGGUUUUUUAAGUCUGAUGUGAAAGCCCACGGCUCAACCGUGGAGGGUCAUUGGAAACUGGAAAACUUGAGUGCAGAAGAGGAAAGUGGAAUUCCAUGGGUAGCGGUGAAAUGCGCAGAGAUAUGGAGGAACACCAGUGGCGAAGGCGACUUUCUGGUCUGUAACUGACGCUGAUGUGCGAAAGCGUGGGGAGCAAACAGG